UGGGGAAUAUUGGACAAUGGGCGCAAGCCUGAUCCAGCAAUGCCGCGUGUGUGAAGAAGGCCUUCGGGUUGUAAAGCACUUUUAUCAGGAGCGAAACGCUGUCGGCUAAUACCCGGCGGAACUGACGGUACCUGAGGAAUAAGCACCGGCUAACUUCGUGCCAGCAGCCGCGGUAAUACGAAGGGUGCAAGCGUUAAUCGGAAUUACUGGGCGUAAAGCGUGCGUAGGCGGUUUCUUAAGUCUGCUGUGAAAUCCCCGGGCUCAACCUGGGAAUGGCAGUGGAUACUGGGAGGCUAGAGUGUGUCAGAGGGUGGUGGAAUUCCCGGUGUAGUGGUGAAAUGCGUAGAGAUCGGGAGGAACAUCAGUGGCGAAGGCGGCCACCUGGGACAACACUGACGCUGAGGCACGAAAGCGUGGGGAGCAAACAGGAUUAGAUACCCUGGUAGUCCACGCCCUAAACGAUGCGAACUGGAUGUUGGUCUCAACUCGGAGAUCAGUGUCGAAGCUAACGCGUUAAGUUCGCCGCCUGGGGAGUACGGUCGCAAGACUGAAACUUAAAUGAAUUAACGGGGUCAUAGCUG
rnacentral:rRNA from 1 species